rnacentral:rRNA from 1 species
UACGUAGGGGGCAAGCGUUGUCCGGAAUCAUUGGGCGUAAAGAGCUCGUAGGCGGUUUGUCGCGUCUGCCGUGAAAGUCCGGGGCUCAACUCCGGAUCUGCGGUGGGUACGGGCAGACUAGAGUGAUGUAGGGGAGACUGGAAUUCCUGGUGUAGCGGUGAAAUGCGCAGAUAUCAGGAGGAACACCGGUGGCGAAGGCGGGUCUCUGGGCCGUAACUGACGCUGAGGAGCGAAAGCAUGGGGAGCGAACAGG